GUGUCAGCAGCCGCGGUAAGACAGAGGGUGCAAACGUUGUUCGGAAUUACUGGGCGUAAAGCGCGUGUAGGCGGUCGUGCAAGUCGGGUUUGAAAGCCCCGAGCUCAACUCGGGAAGUGCAUUCGAUACUGCGCGACUAGAGUCCCGGAGAGGAUGGUGGAAUUCUCGGUGUAGAGGUGAAAUUCGUAGAUAUCGAGAGGAACACCGGUGGCGAAGGCGGCCAUCUGGACGGUGACUGACGCUGAGACGCGAAAGCGUGGGGAGCAAACAGGAUUAGAUACCCGUGUAGUCC
rnacentral:rRNA from 1 species